rnacentral:lncRNA from 1 species
GUCACAUACUUUGAGAUUUGAUCUUAAUCUGAUUUAAUUUAAAUUUAAUAUAAAUCUUGAGGGUUAAUUUGAUAUGUUAGCAUAUUGUGUUAAUCCAAGUUUCUAAUUAGAUUCAGUUCAAAGUGUUUGAGCUAAACUAGACUUGUUACCUUUGACCUAAUUAGAUUGGGUCUAUUUUAAUUUGACUCUUAUCCAACUUGGAAGUAUUUCAAGUGUGAAAGGAGUCCUCUGUG